UACGUAGGGUGCAAGCGUUAAUCGGAAUUACUGGGCGUAAAGCGUGCGCAGGCGGUUUUGUAAGUCAGAUGUGAAAUCCCCGGGCUUAACCUGGGAACUGCGUUUGAAACUACAAGGCUAGAGUGUGGCAGAGGGGGGUGGAAUUCCACGUGUAGCAGUGAAAUGCGUAGAGAUGUGGAGGAACACCGAUGGCGAAGGCAGCAUCCUGGACCGGUAUUGACACUGAGGCGCGAAAGCCAGGGGAGCAAACGGG
rnacentral:rRNA from 1 species